rnacentral:rRNA from 1 species
AGAGCGAACGCUGGCGGCAGGCCUAACACAUGCAAGUCGAGCGCCCGUAGCAAUACGGGAGCGGCAGACGGGAUAGUAACACGUGGGAACGCGCCCUUCGGUUCGGAAUAACUCAGGGAAACUUGAGCUAAUACCGGAUACGCCCUUACGGGGAAAGAUUUAUUGCCGAAGGAACGGCCCGCGUCCGAUUAGCUAGUUGGUGAGGUAAUGGCUCACCAAGGCGACGAUCGGUAGCUGGUCUGAGAGGAUGACCAGCAUCACUGGGACUGAGACACGGCCCAGACUCCUACGGGAGGCAGCAGUGGGGAAUAUUGGACAAUGGGCGCAAGCCUGAUCCAGCCAUGCCGCGUGGAUGAUGAAGGCCUUAGGGUUGUAAGUCCUUUUAACGGGGAAGAUAAUGACGGUACCCGUAGAAUAAGCCCGGCUAACUUCGCGCCAGCAGCCGC